UACGUAGGGGGCAAGCGUUGUCCGGAUUUAUUGGGCGUAAAGAGCGUGUAGGCGGCCAGGCAGGUCCGCUGUGAAAACUCGAGGCUCAACCUCGAGAGGUCGGUGGAAACCGUCUGGCUAGAGUCCGGAAGAGGAGAGUGGAAUUCCCGGUGUAGCGGUGAAAUGCGCAGAUAUCGGGAAGAACACCCGUGGCGAAGGCGGCUCUCUGGGACGGUACUGACGCUGAGAGACGAAAGCUAGGGGAGCGAAUGGG
rnacentral:rRNA from 1 species